AUUAGCUUGUUGGUGAGGUAACGGCUCACCAAGGCGACGAUCCCUAGCUGGUCUGAGAGGAUGACCAGCCACACUGGAACUGAGACACGGUCCAGACUCCUACGGGAGGCAGCAGUGGGGAAUAUUGCACAAUGGGCGCAAGCCUGAUGCAGCCAUGCCGCGUGUAUGAAGAAGGCCUUCGGGUUGUAAAGUACUUUCAGCGGGGAGG
rnacentral:rRNA from 1 species